CGGCCUAAACUUAUCCAGGACCUAGUUCAAGCAAGCAACAAUACAAUUCGGCGUGGAGACUCAAAGGAUGCAAGCACUUCUGAAAUUCUUUUCACUUUUUUUUUGCUGCGGCUUUUACUCUCUCUUUUUUUUAUGCAGCUCGUUGCCUUUUACUUUUUUUUUGUGUGGCUCUUUCUUUUUCUUUUUACAGAAUAUGCCGCAAUGUACAAAGUACCUGAUACGCAACUAACUGAUUUGUAACCCACGGCAAAAGAAACUGAGCCCAAACCUACAGCCGUCAAAAAAAAUAAAAAUAAAGAUGUGAUCAAACUGAUGGAUGUCAACAAACCAGACCU
rnacentral:lncRNA from 1 species